rnacentral:lncRNA from 1 species
AUGGUGCACACUGCAUCUUUCAAGACCUUUUUCCUCUCUAAUGCCAUUGCACUUUUCACUUCAUUGGCCGUGGUGGUGGUUCAAAUAACAGUUGUUAGAGGGGAGAUAAAGUCCGAGCGGAAGGUUGUGGAGGUGAUCAAUAAGAUGAUGUGGGGCAAUUGUAAUGGGUGGUGUUCUUGGAAUAGGACACAGUCAUGGCGUCUUUCUGAUUCUGAAUCAGAAGAAGUAAAUCCAAUUUAUGCUAUUUAA